rnacentral:lncRNA from 1 species
AUACAACACUCCAAGACUUCAACCAAGGAAACACAAGUUCCUUACAACAAGGGGAAUUACAAUUCUCUUACAAGUGUAUAAAACACUAAAACACUCAAACAAUAUACUCCUUUAAGAGUAGGAAUGAGUAAAAGAAAUAAGCUCUAGCUCACAACAACUUUGGACAAGAAUAUGGCUCUCAAAAGCUUUAUGAAAUUGAAUAUAAAAUGAUAAACAAAAGUAUGCAAGCUUAUAGCAAUGU